UACGAAGGGGGCUAGCGUUACUCGGAUUGACUGGGCGUAAAGGGCGCGUAGGCGGUUUGUACAGUCAGACGUGAAAUUCCUGGGCUCAACCUGGGGGCUGCGUUUGAUACGUGCGGACUUGAGUUCGGAAGAGGGUCGUGGAAUUCCCAGUGUAGAGGUGAAGUUCGUAGAUAUUGGGAAGAACACCGGUGGCGAAGGCGGCGACCUGGUCCGAUACUGACGCUGAGGCGCGAAAGCGUGGGGAGCAAACAGG
rnacentral:rRNA from 1 species